GUCUAUGGCCAUGCUACCCUGAACAAGCCCAAUCCUGUCUGAUCUUGGAAGCUAAGCAGGGUCGGGCCUGGUUAGUACUUGGAUGGGAGACCACCUAGGAAGACCAGGUGCUGUAGGCA
rnacentral:rRNA from 1 species